AGUGAACGCUGGCGGUAGGCCUAACACAUGCAAGUCGAACGGCAGCACAGUAAGAGCUUGCUCUUACGGGUGGCGAGUGGCGGACGGGUGAGGAAUACAUCGGAAUCUACUUUUUCGUGGGGGAUAACGUAGGGAAACUUACGCUAAUACCGCAUACGACCUACGGGUGAAAGCAGGGGAUCUUCGGACCUUACGCGAUUGAAUGAGCCGAUGUCGGAUUAGCUAGUUGGCGGGGUAAAGGCCCACCAAGGCGACGAUCCGUAGCUGGUCUGAGAGGAUGAUCAGCCACACUGGAACUGAGACACGGUCCAGACUCCUACGGGAGGCAGCAGUGGGGAAUAUUGGACAAUGGGCGCAAGCCUGAUCCAGCCAUACCGCGUGGGUGAAGAAGGCCUUCGGGUUGUAAAGCCCUUUUGUUGGGAAAGAAAAGUAGCAGGUUAAUACCCCGCUGUUCUGACGGUACCCAAAGAAUAAGCACCGGCUAACUUCGUG
rnacentral:rRNA from 1 species